GACGUAGGGCGCGAGCGUUGUCCGGAAUUAUUGGGCGUAAAGAGCUCGUAGGCGGUGUGUCGCGUCGGCCGUGAAAACCUGCAGCUUAACUGUGGGCUUGCGGUCGAUACGGGCAUCACUGGAGUUCGGCAGGGGAGACUGGAAUUCCUGGUGCAGCGGUGAAAUGCGCAGAUAUCAGGAGGAACACCGGUGGCGAAGGCGGGUCUCUGGGCCGAUACUGACGCUGAGGAGCGAAAGCGUGGGGAGCGAACAGG
rnacentral:rRNA from 1 species